rnacentral:rRNA from 1 species
CUAGGAUGUUGGCUCAGAAGCAGCCAUACAUUCAAAGAGUGCGUAACAGCUCACUAGUCGAGAGUCCCUGCGCCGAAAAUGUCCGGGGCUGAAACACAACACCGAAGCCGUGGACUCCGUAAGGAGUGGUAGAGGAGCAUUCUUAAAACCGACGAAGCUGUACCGGAAGGAGCAGUGGAGGGAUAAGAAGAGAGAAUGCCGGAAUGAGUAGCGAGAGGAAGGUGGGAAUCCUUCCGGCCGAAUAUCUAAGGUUUCCAGAGUAAAGCUGAUCUGCUCUGGGUAAGUCGGGGCCUAAGGAGAGGUCGCAAGACGUAUCCGAUGGACAACAGGUUUAGAUUCCUGUACCGCAUAUAAACAGAACUGUGGGGACGCAUGUGGAAAGCACGAGCCGGGAAUGGAAAGACCGGUACAAGCGAGGUAGGAGUGUGACAGGCAAAUCCGUCAUACAAUCUGAAGACGUGAUGUGGAGUGAAAUUUCAGUAACGAAGCGUGUGAGCCAUGUGCCGAGAAAAGCCGCUAUUGUUUUAUAUGUGCCCGUACCGUAAACCGACACAGGUGGAUGAGGAGAGAAUCCUAAGGCCGACGGGAGAAGCAUUGUUAAGGAACUCGGCAAAAUGACCCCGUAACUUCGGGAGAAGGGGUGCCCACUGAAUGGUGGGCCGCAGAGAAUAGGCUCAAGCAACUGUUUAGCAAAAACACAGGUCUAUGCGAAACCGAAAGGUGAAGUAUAUGGGCUGACGCCUGCCCGGUGCUGGAAGGUUAAGAGGAGAGGUUAGCGCAAGCGAAGCUUUGAAUUUAAGCCCCAGUAAACGGCGGCCGUAACUAUAACGGUCCUAAGGUAGCGAAAUUCCUUGUCGGGUAAGUUCCGACCCGCACGAAAGGCGUAAUGAUUUGAGCACUGUCUCGACAAUGCACCCGGUGAAAUUGAAGUACCAGUGAAGAUGCUGGUUACCCGCGCCAGGACGGAAAGACCCCAUGGAGCUUUACUCCAGCUUGAUACUGGGAUCCGAUGCUGUAUGUACAGGAUAGGUGGGAGGCUGAGAAGCGGUGACGCCAGUUGCCGCAGAGCCGAUGUUGGGAUACCACCCUUGCAGUAUUGGAUUUCUAACCAGCUGCCGUGACCCGGCAGUGGGACAAUGUCUGGCGGGGAGUUUGACUGGGGCGGUCGCCUCCGAAAGGGUAUCGGAGGCGCUCAAAGGUUCCCUCAGAAUGGUCGGAAACCAUUUGAAGAGUGCAAAGGCAGAAGGGAGCUUGACUGCGACACCGACGGGUGGAGCAGGUACGAAAGUAGGACUUAGUGAUCCGGUGGUAUAAAGUGGGAUUGCCAUCGCUCAACGGAUAAAAGCUACCCUGGGGAUAACAGGCUUAUCACUCCCAAGAGUUCACAUCGACGGAGUGGUUUGGCACCUCGAUGUCGGCUCAUCGCAUCCUGGGGCUGUAGCAGGUCCCAAGGGUUGGGCUGUUCGCCCAUUAAAGCGGUACGCGAGCUGGGUUCAGAACGUCGUGAGACAGUUCGGUCCCUAUCCGGCGCGGGCGGAGGAUAUUUGAGAGGAGCUGUCCUUAGUACGAGAGGACCGGGAUGGACGGACCACUGGUGUAUCUGUUGUCGACCAACGGCAUGGCAGAGUAGCCAAGUCUGGAAGGGAUAAACGCUGAAGGCAUCUAAGCGUGAAGCCCCCCUCAAGAUGAGAUAUCCCUCCUUCGGGAGUAAGACCCCUUGAAGACUACAAGGUAGAUAGGGCAGAGGUGGAAGUGUGGCAACACAUGGAGCUGACUGUUACUAAUAGGUCGAGGGCUUGAUUAA